UACGUAGGCAGCAAGCGUUGUUCGGAAUUACUGGGCGUAAAGAGUAUGUAGGCGGUGUUGUAAGUCGGGGGUGAAAUGCUGCGGCUCAACCGCAGCGCUGCCUUCGAGACUGCAAGACUGGAGCACGGUAGAGGCGGAUGGAAUUCCCGGUGUAGCGGUGGAAUGCGUAGAGAUCGGGAAGAACACCAAUGGCGAAGGCAGUCCGCUGGGCCGUUGCUGACGCUGAGGCGCGACAGCGUGGGGAGCAAACAGG
rnacentral:rRNA from 1 species